UUGAAACCCCAGUUCUCAUAUGAUCACUGAAGUUAAGCAAUGCUGAGCAUGAUCAGUACUUAGAUGGGUGACCACUUUGGAAUAUUAGGUGCU